rnacentral:rRNA from 1 species
GGGAACGUGCCCCAAAGUGAGGGAUAACGCACCGAAAGGUGUGCUAAUACCGCAUAUGAUCCUCGGAUUAAAGAAUUUAUUCGCUUUGGGAGCGGCCCGCGUCGGAUUAGAUAGUUGGUGAGGUAAUGGCUCACCAAGUCGACGAUCCGUAGCUGGUCUGAGAGGAUGAUCAGCCAGACUGGGACUGAGACACGGCCCAGACUCCUACGGGAGGCAGCAGUAAGGAAUCUUCCACAAUGGGGGCAACCCUGAUGGAGCAACGCCGCGUGCAGGAUGAAGGCCUUCGGGUUGUAAACUGCUUUUAUAAGUGAGGAAUAUGACGGUAACUUAUGAAUAAGGAUCGGCUAACUACGUGCCAGCAGCCGCGGUCAUACGUAGGAUCCGAGCGUUAUCCGGAGUGACUGGGCGUAAAGAGUUGCGUAGGCGGUUAGUAAAGCGAAUAGUGAAACCUGGUGGCUCAACCAUACAGACUAUUAUUCGAACUCACUAACUCGAGAGUA